UCUGUGUGCUGAGUAUACCUUUUGUUUCAUUUUAUUAGGGGAAAGAAGAGGACACCAUUCGGAGGAGACAAGGAGGCACAGACAGGAAAAACCCCACCAACCUCAGCAUGUGGAGGAGGUGCAUGUGGAAGAAGGAGGUGUGGAGAUUAUCAGCACAACAGGGGAUGAACAUGGUGGUAUCACAGCAUCUGCUAGUACACCUUUCUCUCUCCAGUGCUAGUGCCCAAAUCAUGAUCCAAGAAAUAAUGGAAUGCAGUACUGAAAUGGACAUUAUGAGGAAUAGGAUGAAUGUCA